AUGUUCUUUCCUGCUUUGUCAAAGAUGAGUUGGCCAUACGUCUGUGGGUCUAGUUCUGGGGUUUCUAUUCUAUUCCAUUGGUCUAUGUGUCUGUUUUUGUGCCAUGUUUUUUGAAAUUUUAAACUACAGCUGAGAGCAGAAGCAAAAACUGGUCAUUGGCCUAAAACCUUUGAUGAUUCUCUCUUGUGAAUGGAAGAGAAAGUCUAUUCACUCUAGUAUUUUCAUGCCAGUUUGUAGAAUUAGCUCAUAGUCAUUCUAGCUGCCAAGUUAAUAUCAACUUCUUACAGUGUUUCAUUAACUAGGUUUCUGAAUCAGAUCAACCAAAAAAAUGCCUUGGAAUUGGAAUAUUUGUAAAGUGGUAAGUGGUAAUGUAUGGAGGAAACGUGAAUUUCCCACUUGAUUUCAUUUUAAUUUUUUCUAGUUGGUUUGUUGGAUCAGGAUCCAAAUGUUCUAUAUACAUCGCAUUUGGUAAUGUCUUAUAUUUGUAAUAGUUGCCUGUCCUUAUUGGAAAAACAAAUUGAGGAAUUCCUAAUGACUUGCAUUUGGCUGAUUGUAUUCCUGUCGUAUUGUUUCAUACGGUUUUAUCUCCCCGAGUUUAAUAAUAGAUCUAGAAGCUUGAUUAUAUUUUGAUUAUUUUUUUAGGCUAGAUACAUCAUAGUGGGUGCUGCAUACUUCCUUUUGCAUCAUAUCAGGAGGUACGUAAUGUCAGAUUGCCUUACUUUUGAUACUAAGCUUGGUUAGUAGAUUCUAGUGAUUUCAGUGUUUUCUAUCCAUUAUAAAGUCUUCCAUCAACGUUGCACCAAAUAGUUUUAGCAGCCAUGGAUGAUAAACAUCUACACUGAUACUUUAGUUAUAAACAACAAAUUAGUGAAAGGACCUUAAAUUUCUUAAGGCAAGCCCAGAAUAGAAGACCCCAAGAAUUAAUAUAUGUGACUUCUAAAAGCUGUGCAAGUUAUCUGGGGUGACUGGGUGGCUCAGCCAGUUAAGCGGCUGACUUCAGCUCAGGUUACGAUCUUGCUGUCCGGUCCGUGAGUUCAAGCCCUGCGUUGGGCUCUGUGCUGAUAAGCGUGGAGCCUGGAGCCUGCUUUGGAUUCUGUGUCUCCCUCUCUCUCCACCCCUCCCCACUUGUGCUGACUCGCUCUCUCCCCAAAAUAAAUAAACCUUAAAAAAAUUUAAAAAAGCUGUGCAAAUUAUCUUGCACUUUUUCCCCCAAGGUCUGUUGGUACUGCAGUAUCUAUGCCUCCAAAAACCUGAUUUUAGCUUCACGGCCUUGCUCAUUUUUGAAACAGUGGCAUCAUGCAGCCAAUAUGGGCUGUGGUGUCAGACUUCACUGGAAUCUCAGUUCUAAGUCUGUUGUUGGCUUACAUUUGAAACAGCAAGAUUUCUAAGCUCCACUUUCCUCAUCUGUAAAGUGAGAAAACCUUGUAUUUAUUUUGCAGGAUCACUAUGAUGGAUUACAUGAGACAUUGGCAAAGGGCUUAGCACUUACUGGAAUAAUAAAUGAGUCCAGGCUGGCAGUGUUUCGGCUGGUAUAAAAAUUCUCAACCUUGAUCUUCUGUGGAUGUCACGGAAAUUCACUUCAUUGGACAAGAGGUGCCUCCACAGAACUUUCCUGGGUAAUCCCAUGUCUAUUCCUGGGUUCUGCUGAGAUGGUUGAGAGUAUUCACGAGUCACACGUCUAAUCUCCUAACCUAUCUGUGUGGACAAAUAUGACCUUUUGGUCAUUCUGAGGCACUAGAAAAAGGGGGCUCAACCACACCUUGGCUUUUUCUCCAGAGCACACUUCCCUGUGAGUCUCCUAAUUUUAGCAUCUUUUGCAGUGUGGAUAGGCUGAGAUUUCUGCAUUAAGUUCAGGUUCUGUUUUAACCGUUCUUCCCUAGAUUCAUCUCUUUGCUCUUGCAUUUUACUAUAAGCAUCAAAAAGAAAUGAAAAAAAUCCCUUCAGCUAAACAUCCAAGUUUGUUAUGUGCAAGUUCUGCCUUCCACAUAACUGUUGGGUACAACUCAGCUAUGUUUCUACCAUAUAAGGAUUCCCCUUUCUUCCAGUUUCCGAUAACAUUACCCAAUUCCUUCUGAGCCCUCACCAGCCGUGCUUUUAGUGUCUGUAUUUCUAUUCACAGUCUGUUUAUGUAUUCUCUAAGACUACAGAUUUUCUACUAGGCUCUUCACUUCCUUCUGAGUCCUCACUGACAGAAUUGUUAACAUUCAUGUUUGUAGUAACAAUCAGUGGAAAGCAUUCUAUCAUACCCAUAAUUCUUCCAGCCUGUGUCCAUUUUUCAGUUCCAAAACCACUUCUACAUCUUAAGGUAUUUGUUACAGUAGCACUCCACUUCCAGGUACCAAAAUCUGUUUUAGUUUCUAUAUUGCUGUUGUAACAAAUUACCACAAACUUAGUGACUUCAAACACUUUGAAUUAUUACACUUCUGGAAGGCAAAAGUUGGAAAUGGGUUUUCCAGGACUAAACGGAAAAAACAGGGCUGCUUUCCUUCUGGAAGCUCUAAGGGAAAAUCCUUCCUUGCCUUUUCAAGCUUCUAGAGGAUGUCUGCAUUCCUUGACUAGUGGCCACUCACUCCAACCUCUGCUUCUGUAGUCAUGCUUUCUUGGACUCUGAUCCUUGGUCUCCUUAUAAAGAUCCUUGUGGAUGACACUGGGGCCAUCGAGUAAUCCAGGAUAACCUUCCCCUAUCCCAAGAUCCUUAAUUUAGUUACAGCUACAAAGUCCCAUUUGCCAUGUAAGGUGAUAUGUUCACAAGUUUUGGGGAUUGGAAUGUGGGCAUCUUUGGCCAGGGGUGGGGGAGGGGGUGCUUGCCUGCCACACCUGCUCUCCAAUGCAGUAUUGAGGUCCUUAAAUGGGUGCUAGGGGACACAUGAAUGAGUGUUGCUUGUUGGGUCAGACAGAACUGGAAAAUGUCUUUUUAACGUAAAGAGGGUUUUUUUCCCCUACCCAAUUAAAUGUAUUGCAUUAAAUGUAUUACAUGCUCACAA